AGAUGUGGAUGACGAAAUCACAAGUAAAAUACAGUUAUCCCUGUCUGAUUCCUUUGAUAAGGGUGCUGAGAAAACUUAAGAAUCUGACACAUUA
rnacentral:snoRNA from 1 species